rnacentral:rRNA from 1 species
GUUGUAUGGUUAAGUGACUAAGCGUACACGGUGGAUGCCUUGGCAGUCAGAGGCGAUGAAAGACGUAGUAACUUGCGAUAAGCCCAGAUUAGGUAGUAACAACCAUUUGAGUCUGGGAUUUCUGAAUGGGGAAACCCACGUGCAUAAGCACGUAUCCUUACCUGAAUACAUAGGGUAAGGAGGCGAACCGGGGGAACUGAAACAUCUAAGUACCCCGAGGAAAAGAAAUCAACCGAGAUUCCGAAAGUAGCGGCGAGCGAAAUUGGACUAGCCCUUAAGCUUUACACGCGUUAGACGAACGGUCUGGAAAGUCCGACGAUACAGGGUGAUAGUCCCGUAGUUGACGACGUGUGUUCAGUGAAAUCGAGUAGGGCGGGACACGUGAUAUCCUGUCUGAAUAUGGGGGGACCAUCCUCCAAGGCUAAAUACUACUGACUGACCGAUAGUGAACCAGUACCGUGAGGGAAAGGCGAAAAGAACCCCUGUGAGGGGAGUGAAAUAGAACCUGAAACCGUGUACGUACAAGCAGUAGGAGCAGGCUUUGUCCUGUGACUGCGUACCUUUUGUAUAAUGGGUCAGCGACUUAUAUUCAGUGGCAAGGUUAACCAUCUAGGGGAGCCGUAGGGAAACCGAGUCUUAACUGGGCGUUCAGUCUCUGGAUAUAGACCCGAAACCAGGUGAUCUAGCCAUGGGCAGGUUGAAGGUUGAGUAACAUCAACUGGAGGACCGAACCGACUAAUGUUGAAAAAUUAGCGGAUGACUUGUGGCUAGGGGUGAAAGGCCAAUCAAACCUGGAGAUAGCUGGUUCUCCCCGAAAGCUAUUUAGGUAGCGCCUCGGACGAAUACUACUGGGGGUAGAGCACUGUUAAGGCUAGGGGGUCAUCCCGACUUACCAACCCUUUGCAAACUCCGAAUACCAGUAAGUACUAUCCGGGAGACACACGGCGGGUGCUAACGUCCGUCGUGGAGAGGGAAACAACCCAGACCGCCAGCUAAGGUCCCAAAUUACUACUAAGUGGGAAACGAUGUGGGAAGGCUCAGACAGCCAGGAUGUUGGCUUAGAAGCAGCCAUCAUUUAAAGAAAGCGUAAUAGCUCACUGGUCGAGUCGGCCUGCGCGGAAGAUGUAACGGGGCUAAGUAGUAAACCGAAGCUGCGGCAAUGUGCUUUUG